UUAAUUUGGUCGCAUGACAAAAUACACAUGAGGUUUGAAUAUAAGUAUUAGGCGAAAGGGUAUGGAAGAAAAAAGAGAGACAAAAACAUGAAUACAAAUAGUGCAACAGAUCAAAUGAGUACGUCCAUGGUAGUAAUGCAAUUUAAAAAGAUUAUAAAGUAAAUGAAUACAUGUAAAUAACGGGAAAGCAAUUGCAAAUAGUCAUAUAAUAACGCGAAUCGGGUGACUGUGCACACAACAUUUGAAGAAAUAAUAUUUGAAUGAUGCAAGUAAAUUUGAACUGAGGUUAAUUGUUCCUCAAAUAGAUAACGGGUAUUAGGACUGUGCGUACAAGGGAGUUGAGUUUCCUCAUUCAUUAAAUGGGUUGAGGAAAAGAGAUGCAUGAUGAUGGAAAGAAAAACGAAACAUAUAUACAGAAUAAAAAAUGCAUACAUGUAAAUGAUUGUAUACAGGCGGUUGAAGUGAACAAGAAACUGAAUGUGGGAUAUAAUCACAUAAACGAUUUUUGACAUAAUAAAGUUCAAAGUGAGUAAUGUUCAGAACAGUUUAAAUGAUGACAUCUUAAAGGGAACGUAGGGUCAAAAAUCAAAUUUUGAUAUGUGAAAACUGGUACCAUGCAGACAACAAAAUCUAACAUAGAAAAAAUAAUUGCUGCUGAUAACAAGAUUUAAUCUGUCAUUUACACUGAAAACUGAGCUGAAUGGGAGAAUCUCUUAUCAUGGCGGCUGAUGACGUGUAUGCGGCAAUUCAUUACAACUGCUGUGCCUAGCACUAAAUGGGUUACAGAGUAUCUAUGAUCUAAAUGUCGGGAGUUCAAGUGAAAUUUUGCACUGUGGUCAAAGGAAAAGGAAUACAUGUAUCUACCUUUUAGCAUCCCUGAUCUCCCCCCAAAACUAUGAACAUUGUGCAAUAAUUGGAUACAUAACCUUGAAAAUGAAUCUUUUGUUUUUGAACGGCAUUUGAGAAAGAGUCUUUUAAAGAGGAUAUCAGGGUAAGUACAAGUUAUAUUUGCUUUUUACUCAGUAAAUACUAAUAGUUCUUAAUGUGUAUAACCAGAGUUUAUUUACAACAAACUUUUACUUAUAUAAUAAUUUUCUAUUUUAAUCUAUCCUUAUCCAGUGAACAUUUUGUACAGGCUAAAUAUGAAGGGAUGGGUAAACACUGCUUUUUAAAUAUUCACAGUUAAAUUAAUAUCUAUUUAAGUUAAGAUAUUAGGAUACACACCAAAACCUAUUAAAUAGAAGAUGCAGUAACUAAAAUAUUUGAUGGCACAAGACUAAUAAGAAAAAAUAGCUCAAAAAGAUGAGGAAAAGGAAAAGCAGGAUACAUGUAAUACUUUCAAAAAUCAUCCCAGCACUAGCACAUUUUGUAUUAUACUAUUGUUUUUAAAGAAAUUGAAAAUGUACAAGUAAACAAAUGAAGUAUAGUAUAUAUGAAGUAUAGUAUAUAUGAAGUAAGUAUAUAUAAUUAAUUAGUCAUUAUUUUUCAGCUAAUCCAUUUUCUUUUGGAAACCAAUGAAAACUCAUAUGCAGAACCUAUUGACCAACCUGGACUGUCAGCAUCUAAGGAAACAGCUCAAUGAAGACAUGAAUAGUGACAAAAAUAUCCCACUCUCAAUCCAUAUUGAAGAAUAAAUCAACUUUGUGCAACAUAUACAGAUAGAAUUGCCCAGUCAUUGUCCAUCAUAUGUGCUAAGGAAUGUUCAAGUGAAGAAUGAAGAAGUGAAGAUAAUGAACAAUCCUGUAUAAAGAAUACAAAAUUAAAAGUUUAAGAAUUAA